UCCAGGAUGUGUAGGGGGGUCACUAUUCAACCCACUACGGGGAUCAAGAAUGAUUCCAAAGUUUUUGUACCCAGCAACCAAAAGAAUGAAGUUUGCAUGAACCAAUAAGAAAAGGCUAUGAAAGGAGCAUGUUUUUGAAGAUGGGGCCAAAGUUCUGAGUAGAUUCUAAUCUGUGCAGGUGGAGCUGGAGCUGGAUAGGGUGCCCCGCCCUCCGCAGAGCUCUAGUGGGUUCAAUUUCUUUGCUUCUCUUUUGGUGCUAAGUUCAGGGACUGAGGCAUCGGUGGGUGGGUCCAGCAUGGCGCCACCCUGCUCCCGGCCGGGCCUCAAAGAUGGCCGCAGCCACUGGGAGCAGACAUGUUUGUGCCACGUGACCCAGGGCCGGGCCAGAGGCGGCUGAACGUGACGUACGGUAGAGGCGGGGCUCCUCCCCCGCAGCCCUGGCGUCGAGCGUCUCGUGACAGGUACUUCCGCUCGGGGCGGCGGCGGUGGCGGAAGUGGGAGCGGAGCCGGAGUCUUGGCCAUAAAGCCCGAGGCGGCGGCGGCGGCGGCGUUGGAAGCUUGGACAGGCCGAGGAGCCCCCCGGAAUCGGAGCUUGGACUUUCCUUCGCUCCUGUCGUCCCGUCGUCUCCUCCUCGGCGGAGCCCUCGCGACGCGCCCGGCCCGGAGCCCAGCGGAGCGGCCGCGCUUUUCUCCUGUCUUCCAUCUCAGACUGGAUCUGAC